rnacentral:lncRNA from 1 species
AUGGACACGUUCCCCGCAGGCCAGCACACGGUGCUCCAGCAGCGCCAGCUCUACCCAGUCCUUCACCAUGCUCCCAAAGGAGGAAACAGAGCUCAUCUUCUUGGGCAUCUCUUCUCCAUCUUCUCUAGGUGGGAGGCAAUAGGAAAUCAGAGCCUUUUCAGGAGUGUAAGGAGCGAGAUUGCCUACCUGCAAGGGCCACCACCCCUCUUCCAAGCAAGAGGACAGAGGCAAUGAAGAGGGCACAAGUCUGGCGUAGUCUCACUCCCCUUUCCCAGAUGGCACAGAAGUCCAGGGGAAGCUGCACAACCACCCUUUCCCAGGUCCGGGUCAUACAGGGAUGUUUUCUUGAGGCAAAAAGCUAGCCAAGGCUGCAUUUUAACUAACAGUACCCAGUGGUACUACUGGCUGAUUUUUAUAAAGAAUUGGCCUCAGGGCUUUAGUGCAACUGGAGCCAAAUUGCACAGCAGCGGUGAGGGAGAUGCAAGUAUUGAACUGUAUGAGACUGGGAAAAAGCCAGGGGUAAAGGGAAGUGACAGCACCACUAAGCCUGAGGCACUGCUGAUUUUAAAGGUCUAGCAGAAUCUGUACAUCAGUGACCCUGGGUGAAAAGCAUUAUACAGACUUCAGAAAUUUUCAUUGGCCACGAAACUGUGUAAAAAUAACCAUAAAUGCAUUUUUGUUACUGCCUUCUGCCUGGUGUUUAGGCAGCAGUCCCCAAACCAUAACCCUUGCCACUCUGAAUCAAGUUAAUAUGGCAAACAGAGAAAGCACAGAGAGCUAGGUUGUGCCCCCAGCUGCUCUGAGUCAACACGUUCCUCUGAGGUCAGGCAUCCUCGCAGCAGUUAGAGAUGCUGGUGAUGCAGCUGGCCUGUGCAGCACUCGCUCCCUCGCAAGAAAUUUGCGUUCAUUUACAUGUGGGAGACACAAGCAGCGGGAGAAAACAGAGACUUGAUGCAGGUCUGUGGAAGCAGGGAGAGGCCGAGUGCUGAUGGAUGCUUGGGAGGCUCAUGCCUGCACCUUUGUCAAGGAAAGCAAGACAUCCCGUCACGUGCAGUGUCCUCCACACUCAAGCUACCACUACGGGUUCUGUCCUAACAGCAUCCUGACCUGAAAACACAAUUAAAUAAUCUGAAGAUUUGAAAAAAACAAGGAUUUAAAGGAGUGGACCAAGAGUGAUACACUACAGCCUCAGAUGGCUGUUUUUCUUCCUUGGUUGCUCUACUUAAUAUGAAACAUUAAAAAGAAGUAAAUGAAACUAUAGUUUGAUUGCAUCAAGGUGGAAUGCCACAAAAAGUUGUUUGGGAAAAAAAAAAGAAGGUGGAAAAAAAAAGAGUUUGAAAUUUAAGUUCCUGCACUACCUACUAUCAGUGACAAGAAACAGGAUGUUAGUUUUAUGAAUGUGAUGUCAAAUGUUGGCUUUUCUCACCUCAUAGAACAAACAGUUGCAGUGUUCAGCUUGCUUGAUAACUAUCUAGAAACUGGUGUUUGCAAGUAUUUACAUCACUUUUGUUCAGUUUAUUAGUGAAGACAUUGUUUCUAGUGUCUCUUUUAUAGGGUCAACCAAGUUCAAGAAAAUCAAACAUUCCUCCCUCUUUUGUUUCACACAUCAGCCCUAAUAGGGAUCAAAGAACUAACAGUGGAUUCUUCUUGCUAGCGGGGGAUUUGCAUCUGAGUUCUCAAAAAUGUGGACAGAAGCAGCAAGUGGAAGCAUACUAAUGUCUGGUAAUUGCUUAUUUCGAUUUUUCUUUUUCCUCUUUUAUUUAAAUGGAAAAAAGAAAAGAAAAAAUAAAAAAAUGAAGAACACAAAAGCA